AUAUUGCGCAAUGGGGGAAACCCUGACGCAGCAACGCCGCGUGAAGGAUGAAGGUUUUCGGAUCGUAAACUUCUUUGAUUGGGGACGAAUAAUGACGGUACCCAAAAAACAAGCCACGGCUAACUACGUGCCAGCAGCCGCGGUAAUACGUAGGUGGCGAGCGUUGUCCGGAAUUACUGGGUGUAAAGGGCGUGUAGGCGGGAAAGCAAGUCAGAUGUGAAAUACCGUGGCUUAACCACGGGGCUGCAUCUGAAACUGUUUUUCUUGAGUGUCGGAGAGGAAAGUGGAAUUCCCAGUGUAGCGGUGAAAUGCGUAGAUAUAGGAAGGAACACCAGUGGCGAAGGCGACCACCUGGGCUAAUACUGACGCUGAGGUGCGAAAGCGUGGGGAGCAAACAGG
rnacentral:rRNA from 1 species